UACGUAGGGGGCUAGCGUUGUCCGGAAUCAUUGGGCGUAAAGCGCGUGUAGGCGGUUCGGUAAGUCCGCUGUGAAAGUCGGGGGCUCAACCCUCGGAUGCCGGUGGAUACUGUCGGACUAGAGUGCGGAAGAGGCGAGUGGAAUUCCUGGUGUAGCGGUGAAAUGCGCAGAUAUCAGGAGGAACACCGAUUGCGAAGGCAGCUCGCUGGGACGUUACUGACGCUGAGACGCGAAAGCGUGGGGGAGCAAACAGG
rnacentral:rRNA from 1 species